GUCCCCUCCCAGUGAGACACCCUGGGAGUUGUAGGUUUAUUUUCCUUCCUCUGCCCUGACCACUCCUUCACAACUCUCCUGGAAGCCUGUGAACCCUUCUGAAAAGCCAGGAUGACAGAGCAAGUUCCAGGAUGCAAGCCUGGGAAAGAGCCGAAAGGUUCCCUGGGAGUUAAGCCCCUCCAUUGAGAGACAGUAAGCCGAUCACUGCACAGGAAAGCAUUCCUGGGUGCUCUGUGUCCUACAGAGGCAAACUACGAUGAAAAUCGGAGAGUGAACCAGGCCGAGGACCACUUUUGUGAAAGGAGAUCCAGGCCAAAGGGCAAGAUGUUAUUGGAAGUUUUACCAAGGCCUGUCUGUGUUUUAGAAGAAAAAAAAAAUGACCUUCUUGGGAGUGUCUGUGCCGGUGGCUGUGUCCUUAGCAAAGUAGACAAUGUCUCCACGGUGACAGCAGCAUGCACACACACUCUGGCCUCUGCCAAGCAGCUGCAAACACCUGCAAGGCCAGUCGCACUGGGUGAGGGAGACCUACAGACCCCAGAAGCUACUGCAGAAGGACACCGAAGAGAAAGAAGUUCACGGUUCACAUUGCCCAGUGUUGGGACAUCUCCCCUGGAAACGAGAGCGAAGUUUCCUAGAAACCUUGUAAUGAGUCUGUUUGGAAGCUCUCCGAUUUACCUCUCCACCCCAUGAAUUUUACAUUAUUCA